rnacentral:rRNA from 1 species
AUGGUGGUGAAAUUGGACAGGGCACGUGGAGUUUGGUUCGUCGUGUCAUUCAUGGAUGAUCACAACCACGUGAUGGCUCGACCCAAUGAGGUUUGUUUUCUGUGGUCACACAGACGGAUUGGAGAUGGCACGAGGGCAGAGAUACUGGCUAUGCAAGGGGUUGGAAUCAGUAAGCAUAUAAUGGUGGACAACUUCAUCAAUAGGUGCGGUUUGUACGAGAAAUGCGGACUUAUUAGGCGGGACAUGUACAACCUUUGCUGCUGGGAGAAAAUAAAGCUCAUUGCAAAGGGUGAUGCUGAGACAGCAGUGGGCAUUAUGAGGAGUAGAAAGCAGAAGGACCCAGACUUCUUUGAGUAUGUGCUAGAUAAGGAAGCACGGUUGAAGUGUAUGUUCUGGUGCGAUGCAUAG